AAAAUGGCCACCCGUGAGAGACAACUGCUGAGGGGAAAAACGUGUUUUGUUGAUCUCCUGCUCAGAAAAGCAAUCCAUAUGGUUGAGGAAUGGGGAUUUUAUACCAAGUAUGAAUGAUUGGAAAUUCUUUGAUCAAAUGUUCAGGAAAUGGACUAUGAAGAGGACAGUCUGCCUCUUAUUGAAGUAUUUCCUAAAAUUCCAGUCCAACUAAUGCAUUUUUUGGACAACUUUUUAUAGCUCG